GCUGGCGGCGUGCUUAACACAUGCAAGUCGAACGAGAAUCACUGGAAGGAGUUUUCGGACAACGGAAGGUGAGGACAGUGGCGGACGGGUGAGUAACGCGUGAGGAACCUGCCUUUCAGAGGGGGACAACAGUUGGAAACGACUGCUAAUACCGCAUGACACAUAGAGAUCGCAUGGUUUUUAUGUCAAAGAUUUAUCGCUGAAAGAUGGCCUCGCGUCUGAUUAGCUAGUUGGUGAGGUAACGGCCCACCAAGGCGACGAUCAGUAGCCGGACUGAGAGGUUGACCGGCCACAUUGGGACUGAGAUACGGCCCAGACUCCUACGGGAGGCAGCAGUGGGGAAUAUUGGGCAAUGGGCGCAAGCCUGACCCAGCAACGCCGCGUGAAGGAAGAAGGCUUUCGGGUUGUAAACUUCUUUUGUCGGGGACGAGUAGAAGACGGUACCUGGCGAAUAAGCCACGGCUAACUACGUGCCAGCAGCCGCGGUAAUACGUAGGUGGCAAGCGUUGUCCGGAUUUACUGGGUGUAAAGGGCGUGUAGCCGGGAAGGCAAGUCAGAUGUGAAAUCCACGGGCUUAACUCGUGAACUGCAUUUGAAACUACUUUUCUUGAGUAUCGGAGAGGCAAUCGGAAUUCCUAGUGUAGCGGUGAAAUGCGUAGAUAUUAGGAGGAACACCAGUGGCGAAGGCGGAUUGCUGGAC
rnacentral:rRNA from 1 species